rnacentral:SRP_RNA from 2 species
GCCGGGCGUGGUGGCUCAUGCCUGUAAUCCCAGCACUUUGGGAGGCUGAGGCGGGUGGAUCACCUGAGGUCAGGAGUUCAAGACCAGCCUGGCCAACAUGGUGAAACCCCAUCUCUA